UCCGGUGGCUAUGGCAGCGGGGAAACACCUGUUCCCAUUCCGAACACAGAAGUUAAGACCGCUAGCGCUGAUGGUACUAAGGGAGAGAUCCCUUGGGAGAGUAAGUCGCCGCCGGGA
rnacentral:rRNA from 1 species